rnacentral:rRNA from 1 species
UACGUAGGGUGCGAGCGUUUGUUCCGGAAUUAUUGGGCGUAAAGAGCUCGUAGGCGGCUUGUCGCGUCGGAUGUGAAAGCCCCGGGGCUUAACUCCGGGUCUGCAUUCGAUACGGGCAGGCUAGAGUUCGGUAGGGGAGAUCGGAAUUCCUGGUGUAGCGGUGAAAUGCGCAGAUAUCAGGAGGAACACCGGUGGCGAAAGGCGGAUCUCUGGGCCGAUACUGACGCUGAGGAGCGAAAGCGUGGGGGAGCGAAACAGG